CUAAAGUUGGUUGUCAACCGCCAUUUUAAAACCACUGAAGAAGAACCCCUCUUCCCAAUUUGCAAAGGAUGGUGGAAUAUUGACUGGACUAGGAUUCCCUUCACAAUGUUAAAAUUACAACUAUUUAACACGUUUCUUACCGACCGAUUAUCAGCGGCCGCUGUGGAAAUAUCUGGGGCAUUAAAAAAAUCGUUAGCAGUGUACCAGGAAGAACUAUCCGGUUCAAAGGAGGAGUUUGAACGUCUACAAAGGCUGCAAGAUCUGGUUUUGGAACCCGAGAUAAAGUUACUUGGAACAGAAGUGGUUUCUCCUGUGCAGAGUCAGCAAGAGGGGAGCCCCAGUUUAGGCCAAGACCCAGAUCCCACACAGAUUAAAAAUGAACAGGACCCUGAGCCAACACAGAUUAAAGAGGAAGAAGACCUCCGGACCAGUCCGAAAGAUCACACACAGAUUAAAGAGGAGUUCUGGGUCAGUCAGGGCGGAGACGAACUUCAAGGGCUGGAGUCUGAUAUAAAAGAGUUCAUAUUCAACCCUCCCUAUAUUAAAAGUGACUGAUCAGGACCCAUCUCAACUCAACCCUCACACCUUUACCAAAGUCAAAAUGUAAAGAACAGACUGAGUGACUCUACCUACCAACACAACUGAGCAGAUGGAAACAGAAGUGAAUGAAGAGAACUACAGUGUCUCUCAGCCCUUCUCUGCAGUAAAUUCAGAGUGCUCUGCUGAUGAGACGAGAACAAGAGAAAAUGCUUGGGUUGAGAAGGGAGAAACAUCGUCAGGGUUAAAGCGGAGUUGUGGAGGCAAAAAAAAUAUUGUUGCCAUGUCUGUGGCAAAUGCUUCGCACACAAUACUAAUCUGAGAAUCCAUAUGACUGUUCACACGGGGAAAAGCCAUAUAAAUGCAAAGACUGUGACAAAUGCUACAGUGCAAAGGCAGACCUGGUAAGGCAUAUGAGGAAUCGUCAUUAUUGGCCAGGGCAUGUUCUAGGAGGACAUUUUAAUCAGGAAACCCAUCAUACUGUGACAAACAAAGAUGCUUUAUUAAUGUGUGAUGACAAGGAGUUGCUGGGAAGAUACAUGCUUGAUCAGGCAAGAAUUACGUUUGUAUUGGAGUUAGUCAGAGACUCUCUCACGUCGUCAAAACAUCAAUGUCAAGCCAUUUCUCCUGAAGUUAAAUUACUAAUAAGCCUGGGUUACUUGGCCACAGGCAAGAUGCUUUGGGACUGUCAAGCUGUUCUGUAGCUCAUGUCAGAAUGGUGAUAACACAAACUAUCAAUGCCCUCUCUGAUCCUCAACUAGUAGGCCAAUUCGUUGCCUUCCCGCAAGAUGCCAGCCAGCUCCAACACAACCAAGCUACGUUUAAGGCAAUAGCUGGCUUCCCCAGUGUUGCUGGAGUCAUUGGCACAACUUUUAGAAGCAGCUCAGUAUUAAGUACAACAUACAACAAGGAGUUCAAGAAUUUCCCUGGAGACCCAAUUAUUUUAAUCGACACCCACGUGGUGUUCGAUGCACACUGCAAGGUUCUCUAUGUUGUGCCGGAGAGUGUUGCUCAGGAGAUACUGAGUGAGGGUGGCCUCAAACAGAUUGAGGGGCUUCUUGCGCUUGCUGGAUAUAACUUGUUGGGGGACAGUGGAUACCCCUGCAGACAAUGGCUGCUCACAUCUUACUUCCAUCCACUGCCUGGCCCACAGUUGAACUACAACAGGGAACUUAAGAAAACGUGAGAUGUAAUGAGGAGGGGCAUCAGCCAAAUGAGGAGAUUUCCCAUUCUGCAAGCAGACAUCCAGUUGAAGCCGGAGAGGGUGAGCAGGAUUUAUUAUCAUCUGUGCCAUCCUGCAUAAUAUCUGCCGUGACAGGAAUAUCCCACUGCCUGAGGGGGAAGACGACGACGAUGAUGAUGAUGAUGACGAAGACAAUGAUGUCAAAGUGAAAGAUGAUGGCUGAAGAGAAUGGGCCAGUAGAGAGCCUGCCCCCAAGUGAUCUUCACUACAGACUCUACUUUACUGAUCUACAUUUCAAGUAGGCUGUAGAACAGACCCUGAAUGUGUGGCUAUCACAAGUGCUGUACAUGAGUUAGCUACAAACAAUAUGGAAAUAUGUGUUUAUCGAUCAGUUACAGUUCAACUGUCACAAGGGUGAGUUAUUGUUGAUUUUAAGAAUACAUCAUUAACCCUGUUACAGGCACUUUGUCACUUUUAGUCACUUUUGUAAUCAUUUUUCUUAAUUUAACAGCUUGAGAUGAGGAAAACGUGUUUGUUACGAAGUUGAACAUGUGCUCUUUAUGGCAAUGCUACAAUUAGCUGAAGUGUAUAGUUAUUAUUUUUUUACAAAAUUACACUAACCAGAAGGCACGCCAUUUGUGGAAUGGCUCACAUUUUUUUUUUUUGGGACAACAACAACACUCUGGGCUCCCAAGUGGCGCAGAGGUCUAAGGCACUGCAUUUCGGUGCUUGAGGUGUCACUACAAACCCUGGUUCAAUCCCGGGCUGUAUCACAACUGGCCGUGAUCGGGAGUCCCAUAGGGCGGCGCAAAAUUUUGGUUUGGGUUUGGCCGGGGUAGGCGGUCAUUGUAAAUAAGAAUUUGUUCUUAACCUUUAUUUAACUAGACAAGUCAGUUAUAUGAAUGGGUGUAAUUUUCCCUGACACCAAUUUUUUUAACUCUAAAAUGCUAUUUGGAGAACAGCAAAUUACCUCAGCCGUUAUCACAUUGGUUGCUGUAGUUUCAUUCACCACAGUCGAUCUACAAACACAUUUUGUCUUGUAAUUUCACACUGGGAUGGUGCAUUGAAACAAUUAGCUAGCAUAAUUAUAUAAUUUCUUGCACAGCCGCCUUGCUAGCUAGCAAACUUGAAUGAUGCUCAGAAAUUAGCUACUCUCGAGGGAUCACUAUGGUAGCUAGCUAUGGUUAGCGACGACAUGAUAAUGAUGGCAAUUUCAUUAUAUGUUCAUGCCACUAUAGUGUAACUUCGACGAAACAGUUGUUAGCCUCUUUCUAUCACGACUUUUGGGCACCUCUCCUUGCCCAUCGACUCCCAUUUCUGGGUGUCAAGGUUAAUCGACUCUUAAGAUUCAUUAUUUUUCCAAAGGAGGAAACUAUUUGCUAUAGUCUACUUCAAGAGCGAGCUAGCGAGGGAGAGAGAACGAUGGGAGGGGGGCACAGCCAGGCAUAGGUAGGUGUGUCGGCCAACAGGUAGAAAGUCACAACUGUGCAUCGCUAAUCAAAAGAUGUAUCCCAAUGCAGUAUUUAGCAAUUUCUUGACAAAAAAAAUGUAACCUUUAUUUAACUAGGCAAGUCAGGUAAGAACAAAUUCUUAUGUACACUGACGGCCUGGCAAAAGGCCUCCUGCGGGGACGGGACCUGGGAUAAAAAUAAAUACAAUAUAAAUAUAGGACAAAACACGCAUCACAACAAGAGAGGCAACACUACAUAAAGAGAGACGCAAGGCAGCAACACAUGACAACAUGGUAGCAGCACAAAACAUGGUACAAACAUGAUUGGGCACAGUCAACAGCACAAAGGUCAAGAAGGUAAAGAUAACAAUACACCACACAAAGCAGCUAAAAAUGUCUGUAAGAGUGUCCAUGAUUGAGUCUUUGAAUGAAGAGAUUGAACUAAAACUGUCCAGUUUGAGUGUUUGUUGCAGCUCGUUCAAGUUGCUAGCUGUAGCGAACUGAAUAUGUGAGCGACCCAGGGAUGUGUGUGUUGGCAGAAUGGGUGUUGUAUGCAGUGUCUCGCGCAAGUUCACUAAAGUUGGGUUUUUUGAUUAAUAGGCUGAGCUAUUCUUCAUGCAACAGACCUUAAACCAAACACACACUAGGGUUUUUACAUUUUUUUUAUAGCUAAGAUAGAGGAUCGGGGCAGACAAACAGAACCGUGCGCAUAGGGUUUAUAUUGGUGUAUCUAGCAAUGUCUUGUUUAGCAAAGCCUCAUAAGUUAGUAUGGCUACUCUAUUCUUCAUAGUGCCAGUAAAUUUAAGUUUAACAUCGCCAAAUGCAUCAGUUUAAUUAGCCCUCAGUGUGCAAUAAAAGUAUUGUGCCUAUAGUUUAUUUAAUGAAACCCUGGCUGGCUGUUGAUGUCAGGGCUCUCCAACCUUGUUCCUGUUGACCUGCCUUCCUGUGGUUUUUCGCUCCAACCCCAGUUGUAACUAAUCCGAUUGUUUAUCAACCAGCUAAUAAUUGAAUUAAAUGCUCUAGAUCAGGGUUGGAGUGAACCUACAGCAUGGUAGCUCUACGACAAGAACUGGGUUGGAAAGCCCUGGCCUAGGCAAUAGAUCGCAAAGCAGCAUCCCGCUAAACUUUUUUGGAAAUGUCAAUUUCACUUUCACAUCCAUAAACAGUCAAGUGCAAAUACGGUUCAGCUGGUUGGGGGCAUUGUUGUUUGGAAGGACGUCUACCAUGGAUCACUAAAAUAAUUAUGAUCACGCUCUGUGGCGACCCGUCAUUCAGGGAAAGUGGUGCAGAGACCCACAUUUUAAAAACCUCUGACUCCCCAUCCCGCAUGAGGGAGCGUAAUCAUCGACUGACACUAAUUAGCAUAACGCAACGGACAUAAAUAUUCCUAGAAAUAUUCCUAUUCAUGAAAAUCACAAAUG